UCGAAUUCUGAUUCGAACUCGAAUUCUGAUUCGAACUCGAAUUCAGAUUUGUAUACUGGUGAUACCACAAAAUCGAAGAGCAAAAGGCGAACGCCAGCAUGGUGUGACAGAAUACUGUGGUAUGGGGAGGGGAUCCAUCAGAAAUCAUAUACUCGGUGGGAGUCACGGUUAUCUGACCACCGGCCCGUUUGUGCAAUGUUUUUAAUAUUUUUACAUAACCAAAGGAGUUGAGAAGACCGAUUGUGGCUGCUUGCGAGUUUUGACCAGUCAAUUUUGUGGAUGAAAUGCCUUACAUUUUAAAAGACGACAAAUAUGAGACAAAGUACAAAACUGACUUAAAAGAGGGAACUCAAUUUACUAAGGGAAAGGUUUUGGUAACUCGAAGGAUAUGCAUCUUCAAAGGGACUCGACUAUCUUUAAAUUGUGUAUCCACUGUAUCACUAAUUUAUGUAACAUGAGACUUUGUAUUUUAUUUUAUUUGUACACUUGAUAUUUAUCUUAAUAGUUUUCUCCAACCCGGGUAGCACCCGGGUGAUAACCUAGUAGUA